ensembl:lincRNA 9530082P21Rik RIKEN cDNA 9530082P21 gene
AGGAAGGGCGGCUACUGACCUGGGGCUAUGGGUUAUGCUGGUUCUUCGUUGCCCCUCCCUCACAGGAGGCCUGGGAAGGAAAGGUUUCACUUUCGAAGGAUGAGAUGGCUAAACAGAAAGGCCCUGUCCAGUCAUUUGCAGUCAGACUUCGCCUGGUGGUUGCUACACUGACUGACUUGAGGGGGUGUCAGGGGUGUGGGGACCUCUGGGAAGAAGAUCCUGGAGACCCAACAGUAGUUGGUGAGGAACCACCAUGACUUGGUUUCAGAGUCCGCUGGUUUGGAGCAGAAAGGUAGGAACUGUAUCCUGCCCAUUCUCUCGUCCUGCUUCCCCAGACCUCUGACUCUGUCUUCUCUUUCCUCAGGAAAAUUACGGCACCAGCUGGGAGCUGCAAAUGCCUGUGGGGGUCCCAGUUGCUGCUGGUGUCCUGGCCCUCCUGGCCCUCCUGGCGUUGGCUUACCAUUGUCUCAAAGAGGCCUGGAAGUCCAGAUGCCAGCAGCCCUUGCCAUGAGGGCUGGAGGUGUCCUCAAACUGGAGAGAGCUACAGCUUGUCUUCAUCCACAGCCCUGGUCAGGGCCAGCUGGCGACCCUCUCUUCAGAGCCUCAUGGCCCUCUACUGCCUUCCCUACUGUCCCUCUGAAGACCCUACUGGUACCAGGAUAGCCCCUCGGCUUUGGGUCUGAAGAGACCUCUGUGUUUCAGAGGAGGUUGUAUUGGCCAAGCACCCUGCACCUGUUAAUGUGGAUGAAGGAUUGACUCCAUGGGAGGAGGUCCUGCAGAAUAAGAACAAGAUUGGUCUCCCUGGAGUACUGGAUAUCUUCCCGAGCAAGAGGCUGUAGACUGAGGCAAGUGGAGGAAGGCCUAAAGACCAAGUGGGCCCUGGAGACAUCCUUAAGUACAUCUCUGGUGUCUGGUCCUUAAAUGAGGUAAUCACACCUGACACACACAGCCAGGGAGAGGACCCCAUGGCAGGAACUGUGGAGUCUGCACUGGCGGGCUGAGGAGGGGCCUGAGGAGAAGUGGGUGUGGAAGCCUCCCGUCGCAGAGUGAGUAGUUGGUCUCCAGGUGAGACGGAAGUAGAGGGAUGGAAAUGUAUAUUAAAUCCCACAGUUGCUGGGCAGUGGUGGCACAUCCUUAACGCCAGCUCUCAGGAGGCAGUGGUAGGUGGAUCUCAGUUUUAGGCCAGGCUGGUCUACAGAGUAAGUUUCAGGACAGCUACCUAGAGGGAGGACUACACAGAGAAACCAUGUCUCAUAAACCCAAAUCAAACCCCACCAUCGAGUUUUUACUUGAAAUCCUUUCUCUCUACCUACCUGGUGCUGAGAUUACAGACAUGUGCCCCAGAGGUGCUGGGAAUCUGACUCAGGUCCUUAUAGCUAUGUAGUAAGCACUUUACUAAGUGAGCCAUUUCCCCAGCCUUCAGACUGUCUUUUUUGACUGGAGACAAAUCUCAGGUGGAGGCCCAGGAUGGCUGGUAAUCAGAGCCAGUUAAUGACGAAGAUGAAAAGUGGGGAGUUGCCUGCCCAGGAGGUGCCCAGCGUCUCAAGAGGCAAACCUGGCCUUUGCUUGGGGUACCACUUCCAUCUGUGGCUCUCACUUGGGGUACCGCUUCCAUUUGUGGCUCACUUGGGGCACCACUUCCAUUCGUGGCUCACUUGGGGCACUGCUUCCAUUUGUGGCCCACUAUAACUCAUUCUCAUGAUCUCAGAAGAACUCAAGCUGAGAGUACAUGGCCCACUCUUCAAGCCUUCCCCAGGGCUGGGGAUAGCUCCUCAGCAGGUCCCCUCCAAGUCUUGAUCUAGGCCAAGCAAACACCAUUGCCCAUGAGUUACCAACCAAAUCCACAAUGUCCCCAGCACUUGGCAGGCGGUAUGUUAUUUGUGGCAGCGCAGACUAUUACUGACACACAGCAGCUCUGUACCAUGAGACUACACAGGGUUUAUUGAGGGAAUCAGAUGAGCAGAAGACAGCGGCAGGCACCAGGCCAUUACUAUCCCACAGGGGUGGCUGUUCCACGGCUUGUUUGCUAAGGGAGAGGAGCAUGCAGCUCUAUGACAUGAUGAGGACAGCUCUGGCCAGGGUGCAGCACGCAGGAAAUUCUGCCAUUCCUGGGGACAUUAGAGUGCCACUGCUGGCAUGGCUCCUGAGUCCUGCUAAACUCUUCUACAGGAGGUGGCUUUGAUGCCAUCUAACUGACCUGGUGCAUCAUGCGACACCAGGUGAGCAACCCUCAGUGGUGCCGCUGCCACUAGAGCAUGCCUACAUGGUGUCACCUCCUCCUGACAUCUGGGCUGGCUCCCAAGAACUGUGGACACAGGUUUAAGUUGGGAAAGAACGCAGGGUGCCAAGUCUGCCAGGGAGGUAGAGCGAAGCCUUUAGCCUGUCCCGCUCUGCCACAGUCAGAGCUGGGUGAGCCUUAGCAAGCAGCAAGAGACUAAAGAGCAGGCAGGCCUCACACCUGCCCCUAAAAGAUGCCACAAAGCAAAACAAAACCCUGCUGUGACUUGCACUGUCUUCAGAGGGUGGCAAGAAGUUCCUGCACAUAUCCUGGCUUGGGGUGACUGCAUUUUGCUGAACUUCAUGGAGCGCACACGGGAUCACGCCCACUGGAAAGCUCUCAGCAAGGCAGCGUGCUCUGAAAGCAGAUGGUGCUGAGGCCUGGAGAGCAGAGCAGGGCAGAGGUAUAUCAUCCAGACACAGUUCUCCACAGCUGUCUAAGGUCAGGAUGGUAAGAGCAGCAUGGGACAGGCCUGCAGGCCACCCAUCCAGCUUGGUUACCACCCAAAGUCCAAGCACUCCUCCUGGGAGACCUCUGAGGAAAUGUGACAGUCCUGGGUGCUUUGGAAGAGUUGUCAUCAAGUGCAUCUGAAGGAUGGGAAACGCCUGCAAGGAUGGGAAGCAUUUGGGGUGCCAGCUGCUCCUCUGUUGCUCCAGAGAAGACUCACUUCAGCAGGACUGGCUGCUCAGUUUUUGCUCUUUGAUUUUCCUGAUGACAGAGAAAUGUGCAUCAUUACAAAGGUUUAUUUAAGCCAGGCAUGGUGGUGCACACCUUUAAUCCCAGCACUUGGGAGGCAGAGGCAGGUGGAUCUUUGUUUAUGGUUAGCCUGGUCUACAGAGUGAGUUCUAGGACAGCUAGGGCUAUACAGAGAAACCCUGUCUCAAAAAAUAAACAAACAAAACACUAAAGG